rnacentral:misc_RNA from 1 species
AAGUCGUAACAAGGUUUCCGUAGGUGAACCUGCGGAAGGAUCAUUAACACUAUUUUUUAUUUUAUUGAAAAUUUUCAAAACUUUUCAAUAAUUUAAACUUCUACCCACAUUUUUGGAUGAAUUAUAUCUUUUAUUAAUUUUUAUAAAUUUUUAUAACCCCAACAACUAAUUUUUAUUUCUAACAUUUAAAGUUUAAGAAAAACAUAAAAAACAACUCUUAACAACGGAUAUCUAGGCUCUC